rnacentral:rRNA from 1 species
GACGAACGCUGGCGGCGUGCCUAAUACAUGCAAGUAGGACGCAGUUGCGAACGGGUGAGUAACGCGUAGGUAACUACCUAUUAGAGGGGGCUAACUAUUGGAAACGAUAGCUAAUACCGCAUACUAGUAGAUGGACCUGCGUUGUAUUAGCUAGUAGGUAGGGUAAUGGCCUACCUAGGCAACGAUGCAUAGCCGAGCUGGGGUGGUGAACGGCCAAACUGGGACUGGGGAACGGGCCAGACUCCUAAGGGAGGCAGCAGUGGGGAAUCUUCGGAAAUGGGGGGAACGCUGACCGAGCAACGCCGCGUGAGUGAAGAAGGGUUUCGGAUCGUAAAGCUCUGUUGUUAAGGAAGCGGUACUUAACCAGAAAGGGACGGCUAACUACGUGCCAGCCGCCGCGGUAAUAC